AGCAGUCGCCGCGGGAAUACGAAGGGGGCUAGCGUUGUUCGGAUUUACUGGGCGUAAAGGGCGCGUAGGCGGACUGAUAAGUCAGGGGUGAAAUCCCAAGGCUCAACCUUGGAACUGCCUUUGAUACUGCUUGUCUUGAGUUCGAGAGAGGUAAGUGGAACUGCGAGUGUAGAGGUGAAAUUCGUAGAUAUUCGCAAGAACACCAGUGGCGAAGGCGGCUCACUGGCCCGAUACUGACGCUGAGGCACGAAAGCUGGGGGAGCAAAUGGGAUUAGAUACCCCUGUAGUCCCUGUCUCUUAUAC
rnacentral:rRNA from 1 species